GCAUGGCCAGCACUGCUCCACGUAUGUGUUAUUGGCUGCCCCUCCUGUCUAUCUCGCUCUCUUUUUCUACUUUAACCCAGCACUAUUUCCGCUUCCUUGUCUGUGUUUGUUUUUUGUCUCUCUGCUCUGCGCUCGCAAGAUAGUAUCAGCUAUUUUCCUACCUGCUCACUCUGCGCCGUUCAAAACGCAGCGUCAUUCUCAACUUGGUCUGCGUUUUCAUCAGUUUCAACAUCACCGCUGCACUGCAACUGUUUUACACCGGCGCCUCACAGACCAUGGUUACCACGGCAACGCCUCAGCGAGUGACUACUGGGAGUGGUAAGUUGCUACGGCGACCAGGCAGCUUUAACAGGCAAUGAGAGCCUGUGCCACACGACUGCAAUUUCUGGCUCCUGCUGCAGCGCUUUUGCAACAUGAGAGCUUCAACUCGCCGAAUUGUGACAUCUAAAUACUGCAGGCUCCUCUUCUAGACCUACAUUAACUUACUUAUAUCAUCACUAACUGUGCUAAAGCAAAUGCUUAAUACAUAGACAAGGAUUGUAAUCGCAAUAACCAAAUAUAUGCUACCCUGCUUCACUGAAGCCAAUAGUUUCAAUUCCAAUCAAAACCUCUAGAUGGCAGCAUAUCACCACAAGCUCUACAUAAUUUAAGAUGAUUUGCUAUCGCUGCGAAUCUGGCACUCUCCAAACCUUCUAUCAAUUCCUGCAGUUCGUUGUCUUUUUGAGGGAUUCUCAGUACCCUCCUGCCUCAACCUCUUUUUCUACAUAUAUUAACUUGAAUUUUUUCAAAUCCAAACUCCUCCCCUUGAGAACCUUGUCAUGAAGCCAUGCUUAUCAGCUUUCUGAGAUGUUAAGAAUCCACCGUCACAUUAAUUUACAGCUUCCCUGCAUCAGGCCAUUCCUGCAACCUUCUUGUUCCUGGAUUUGCACUUCCUUAUUUGCCCCCAACUUCAUCAAGGCACUUAAUAUAACUUUCAAAGUCCAUUUCAUUCAAUUUGAGCUACCAGUCACAUUCGGAAACUAUGUGCUACGAUUAUCAACAUUUCAGUCAAGCGUCCUCGUAUCCCGCAAUGGACAAUACACUCUUAGACUGCUCCUGAUCAAAUCAAUAGGUUUUGUAGCAGCCUCCGAGCAACGCAUUCCUAUCCUCUCAGGUUCUGCAGCGGCCUCAGAUCUAUGCAUUCUUCAUUUCUGCCCAAAGGCAGCCCCAUCGCCAUCAUCUAAAAACGCCUUAACUCUCAAAUACCAAUUUUCACCGCAUUCAGCAGCUCUCUGCUCUCUACAGCAGGCCACUGCAGACUACUGACAGCAUUCCAUCGUUUACCCCUCAGAUCUCUGCCCGUUCAGCAGAUCUUGCCUCUACUGUUAAUAUUUCCUCAUUACAGCAAAUCUCGGCUCCCUCUUCAGAUCUGCUUCUAUUGCAGCAUACAAAAGUGGCUUUAUUUACUGUUCAAAUCUGCAACUGCUCUCCUCCAGAGCUUCCAACACUCCAGCUUUCCUCCAAUACCUGGAUCUAAGAGAUAUAUAUAUACACGGAGAGCUUGACUUCCUCAGCAAUUUAGUCAUAUGUCCGCUCAUCCUCUCAGAUACUACAAGCUUUAAUAUAUGGUACGAGACUGGAAAUCUGUUUGAUUUAUGAAUUAAGGAGUUCCACUAUUUGGAGAAUGAUUGGAGUUGUGAAACCCAAAUCUCUGAUUUAUGAGUUCACCUUUUCCAUUCCAAACAGACAAGAUGGUAGCAAACCGCUGAUCAAUCCUGUAUUAACUAACACAGGAUGGUUGGCAUCUCAGCUCUCUGCCUUAGUUUUAAAAACAUCUCAGCAGUCGAUUUCAUAUGUUUGUUCAGGUCCAGCUGCCACCUCAGCCCUCAUCAAACUCUGCAACACCAACAUCUGCCGUUCAACUAAAUACAACACUCUCCAACCUUCUGCAAUCUGCUCAUCACUACAUGGCCACACUCUUAGUCCCAGCGACCAAAUCUUCAUUUACCUCUGGAUGGAAAACAUUUACAACUUUCUGCACUCAAAAUACAUCCCAUUCUGAUUUAAUGAACAACGGAUUCUAGCCUCCAUCGCCCAUGCAAGGGAUUCUCUUCACUUAGCCCCCUCUACCGUUAAAGCCUACAUCUCCGGAAUUUAGUAUUUCUGCCGCCUCAUCUCCAUCCCUUCUUCAACACUCCUAUCCAUCCCAUCAGUUUGCUUGACACUCGGAGAGAUCCUCAAGAGCCCCCCCCCUGCUGCUCCCUCCUGGCUCCCUAUAUCAAUAGACAUUCUUCACUCUUUAAUAUCUACCCUCAGAAAAAGCUGCUCUGUCUAUGCAAUGACCUUACCUUGGAAGUACUAUGUCUAACUGCUCUUGUGAAGCACUUCCUCUGCAGGAUUCCUGAAGGAACAGAGUGCACCCUGUGAACUUACCGUGACAACACCUGUGAUUUACCGUUUUUAAAAAAAAAAAAAAAAAAAAAAAAAGCAAGAGUACCAAGACAUCAAGGGGAAUACAAUGGAUAGACUCUGACCGUUAAGCCAUUUCAACCAUGAGGUCUUGUGAACCAUUCCACGCACCCAGAUACUGGACUUUGGCCAGCUGUAGUAAUUUUUACUACAGAAUACUACACCUUGCAGUUAAAAUAAAAAAAAUAAAUAAAAAAAAAAUAAAAUAAAUCAGGACUUCAUCAGGACUUCAAUACAGACAGUUACAUCAAGAUCCAGAAGUUCUGCAACCUGUUCCCAGGAGCAGACCCCAACCCUCGUCUCGUACUACCUUUCAGCAAAACAAUAUUCAACUGAAUAACUCUCUCUCCGGCCUCCUUCAAUCACCACGUGGAUUCAUGGAGAACGCUCUCGCCCCAUCUACCCGUUCUUACUACUCGACUGCCUGGUCUUCAUUUACUCACUUUUGCGAGUAAUAAAUAAAUAAAUAAAUAAUUAAAAAAAAAACAAAAAAAAAAAACGGAUCUCAUACCUCUUUCAACCUACAGCACUCCUCGCCUUCAUCACUCACCUCAGGCUGUCUCUAUGUUUAGCCCCCUCCUCUAUUUAGAUGCUACCUAGCGGGCAUUCAGUAUCAAUUUCGCCUCCAAUCUUUCUCCUCUCGUCCGUUCUAGAGAUAGCGGAUCUCUAGAGAGAACGCUCAGAGGUAUGGAGAAAAGCCUGCUCCCCUCCUCUCCAUCAAGUUAAUCAAUCUCUACUGACCUUCUCCUUUGUCUCAUCACUGCUCUCUGGCAAGGAUGCUUCAACCUAUUCAACGACAUCGUCAUGGAAACCCUGUGCCUGACCGUCGCCUUUGGAUUUCUCCGCUGUGCAGAAUUCUCAACUCCAUCAAUUUCCAACUUCCCAGCUCUAGGCCUCAAGUGCUCAGAUCUCUCUCAAAUCCCCGGAAACCACUUUAUCCUCUUCAUCAGAUCUUCAAAAACGGUCCAAUUAAGCCGAGGAUUCAGUAUCUUCUGUCAGAUCCCCUCUUCGACAGCUCCAGAUCUAUACUUGCGAGUCACUGGUUCUCAUCCCGUUUAUGCACCCUCUCGUCACGGAUCGGACUUUCUUCUACUAGGGUAUCAACACUUUGAUUAAGUCUAUGGGGCGCUGGAUCUCUUCAGCUGUGAACUUUAUAUUAGAUCAUCCUCUGCAGACAUCGCCACAGCUCACCAAGCACUUGUUAGCUUGCCCGGAGUGGGGGGCGCCCUCUCCGCCAGGCCCACCAGAGGUUUCCUCCCUGCAGUGCGGACGGCUUAUAGGCAUAGGUUGUCUACUAACAUCUCUUGUCUUUUCUCUUUUCUUCUAGCUUUUGUUUGUGUGUGGCUCUGCGAUCUCUUUUCUAUCCCACGGUGUGGUUCUUGCGGGGAGCCGGGGGUCCUCUUUUGGGGGGAAGUGAGUCUCACUCCCCCGGCUGUCCGGGUCGGCCUCUCGUCUCAACCACUGCCGCCCGGCUGUUCCUCGCCGGCCUGAGGGGACCCCCGGCCACAUCCUAUUCUUCUGCUGCUUAUGCGCUAAGCCUUCCAGGCCUCAACCUUGCUGUCCCAUCUCCUCUCUUCUAUUUCAGGUCCAGGACCAUUUCAGCCCCCUCAUGCAGUAGGCCGUGCCUCCACCUGCCGAGCUGGCCCCGACCGAGGGGGUGGGGGGUUUCUCUGUUUUCGUCUCUCCUAAACGGACCCGAGACACUUUUUCCUAAGCUCUCCACGCCGCCCAGCUGCCAGCUUAGCUGCCUGAGGAUGCUGCACUGAGUUGCGAAGGAUCUGUCCUUUUGUCCUGUUUGUCCCCUUCCUGUCUCUUGCUCCACUAAACGCCCAGCAGCCAGAGGAUGCUGCCUGACCCGUCGGGAGCGAGAGUCAGUUUGUUGUAUGUUAUAUGUCUAAACUUUGCUCUCUCUCUCUCACUUUUACGUCACCCAGCAGUCGGAGGAUGCUGCCUGACCUGGCGGAAAGUGUUUAUAUCUAAUCCUUUGCUCUUCUCAUGUCUCCCUCUCUACGUCGCCCAGCAGCCAGAGGAUGCUGCCUGACCCGACGAGAAGGGAAAACUCUUCGUCCCCCCUAUCUCGUCCUGCUAUCAGUAUCUAACCUCAAUGUUACUAAGCACCAUUCCCAAACUCCAGCCCUCAAUCUCGCCAUCCCUCAAACUCGUCUCACUCUUAAACUCUCAAAUGUCUCACCCCUCUCAAGCCUCCUAAGCAACCGGAGAAAUCCUCUCAUCUGGUCUCAUUCUUAAUAUCUCACUCCCAAUUUCGCCUCCUCUCAAGCCCUCGUAGGUAACCAGUGAAAUAUAUAUGUACAUUUAUCAGUGCGGCAGUGUUGAGUGGUGGUUAGGCUUCCAGACUUGCAUCCAAGUGUUUGAGGUUCGAUUCCCGGGUGGGGCACUGCCGUUGGCCCGUAUGUAAAUAGCUUUGGAUAAAAGCAUCUGCUAAAUUAAUUAAUUUUAUUUUAGUUUAUGUGAAUAUAUGAUUUCAGUUCUGUUCCUUUUGUAGUGGUGAGAGUGCCAAUGUUGAGGCUGCUCGACGACUUCAAGAAGCUGCAAGGAUUUUGAAGAGAGAGUCAGAAAGCACAGCCACUGCUGGCUCAGGAUCACAGACUGGUACUGGGAUGUGUUCACGCAGUUCUUUUAGCGGUUUGUUUAACAACAUGCAAACCUCACUAGCUGAAGUACAACAAGGAACCCCUACAGUCGAUUCAGGCAGGAUUCCCUGCACUGUAGCUAGAAAUGACCACAUUCAAAGAAAUCUUGUGCAGCUGUUUCAGCCAUGUGAUCAGGCAAGGGGGCAAAAGAUGUUCCAGAACACUGGAAAGUGUAAACGGAAAACUACACACAGUGAAACCUGGACACAUGAUUUAUUUUGCUUAGCAGAGACCAACGUUCAAACUGUGCCCAAUGGAGAAGACCGCAUUGGUUUACAGAAUUCAGGCCUUGGUAGGAAAAAAAUAACAUUUGCAGACGAAAAUGGAGGAUUUUCUUAACUAUGUGAAACUCUGUUUCUGAGAGAACUGAGAGUGGCCUGAACCAGGCAAUGGCCUAUAUUCGACCACUUCAGAAAAACCUGGAGAGCAUUGCGAAGCGUAAGAACAGUUGUCAAAAUCUAAUGUCCUCUAUAUUCCUUCUUCUUCGCCUCCCUUCUAUCACCCUUUCCCCUUCCUCCUCUGCCCAAACCUUGGUGUCACCUUUGAUUCCUCCCUUUCCAACUCUCAACAUAUUUCUUCACUGGCACGCUCUUACCGUCUCUUUUUGAGCAAUAUCUAUUGCAUUAAACCUGCUGGACUAUGGCUCUCGACGAUCAGGACUGGAGAUCUGGGUUAAGGUUUAAAUGCACAUGUAACACAUACUAUAAAAAUGAAGCAUGUUAAAAAUAAAUGUGUGUUUGUUUGUUGUAGUGUCAAGAGGUGGUCAUGGAGAAGUGCAAAAGGUGUGAAAAAUAUCCCUCUGAAAUGCCUUUCAGAACACAUUGAAAACUGUGGAAGACAGCCUGAUGACACUGAUUUGGAAGAUGAUGUCGUUAUGGAGAUAUAAUGUUUUCAAUGUGGAGUACUCUGUGAAAGAUAUCCUACAAUCCCUGAGAGUUGGAAUCAAUGAAGUCAUUCGCUUCAACUUAAACAGAAGAAAUGUGUGGGAUGGUGCUGUAGAGGCCAAACUUUUCAACCAACAAAAGAGUUGAUGUGAAAUUCACAGAUGAUGCUGGUGUUUCGGAAGGAGCAGUGGAUUUGGGAGGGCCAAUGAGGGAGUUUGUCAGACUAGUGCUGCAAUAUAUAAGAAACAGCCCUAUGUUUGAUGGCCCAGAAAAUCAACGUACUCUCUCAUGCCAUGCAGAGUGUAAGUGUAUAAAUCAAUUUCAUUUUAUGUGCUGAAAACUAAAUUAUAAAAAUCCAGUAGUAGAUAUGGUGUGCCAAAUGUUCACAGUAUGUAUUUUUCAAAAGAGAACAGAAGGACGUGUGAUGACAUUAGAUACAAUUGUUUCUCUGGAGCAAAGCAAAGCAAAUGUAAUUAACCAGCACUAUUUCUGAAAAUUAAAGCAUUUUUCAGAAGCUGCUUUGGUAGAAUGUUGUUUGCAUGACAGAAACAAAUAUAUUAUACAUAACAAAUGAAAUUACAUGAAAAUGCUGUUAUUAACUACAACAGCUAUUUCUAUGCAGGACAGUUGAUUGCUAUGAGCAUCGUACAUGGAGGACCAUCUCCACCUUUCUUUGCCCCAGUGUUGUUCCAGGCAGUAGCGUUAGGUCCAGACAACGUGCAUGCUGCAAUCGAGGAUAUAACAGACCCUGAUAUUAAAUGUCAGCUGUCAGAGGUAGGAGUGUAGCAUAUGUAGACAAUUGGAUAGUGAAGGAAAGGUACCAUUUUUUUUUUGUUUGUUUUUUUAAGCCUUGUUUUUAAACAACAAAAAGACACAUUGCACUUUCAUAUUCAUGAUUCAGUCAGUUGUUGCAUUUCAUUUCCACACAGCUUAACUUCUGAGAUGUACUUAGCUGAUGAAAACUGUUUUGAUAGGCUUUUAUUUUUAAUCUGUAUGUAUCUGGGAAUAUAAUACACUGGAAAUGAAAUGCAGUAAUUGAGUUUUGAUUGAUAGUUAAGUUCAAUGUAUAUUUUUGUUGUUUGUGUCUGUAUGGAAUUUGUAUCUACGCCCCAAAAUAUUUGUGUUUAAGCUGUUGGCUGGUCAAGGAGCACCCCUGUGCCCUUUUUUAAAUAAAAAAACUGUAAUGUUUUAAAGUGGAUUAUUUGAAGCAUUGCUUAAACUUGAAAAAAUGAAAUCAUGUGUACUCUCAUUCUUGCCUAGCUUCUCAGAAUGCAUCUCAUUAUUUGUCCUCUUCCGUUGCAUUCCUUGUUUAGUGGAUGUUUGUAUGUAUUUAAAACAAGUAUAUUGAUAUUUUUUAUGCAAAUAAAUUGUCCUAAACCCAGAAACAUAAAUUAACAGGUUAUAUCUAUAAAAAAUAAAUAUUGGAUGUCAGGACUGAAGAGGAUUUGUUGUGGAUGCUGACCCUUGGAUUUAUAUUUUGCUUCAAUGUGCAUGUAUGUUCUCUUUAUUUCAAAGUCAGUCAAUUAAAAAGGAACUGGACGAGGCGGUUAUGAGCAUUGUAAACCUCCUGAGCCUGGCUGGUUGUCUGAAAAACAUCACACUUCAAAAUAAAAAUGAUGUAGUGCAAGAUGUGAUCGACUGGUAUGUUCUUCAGCGAACAAGAACACAGUUUGAAAGGUUGCAAGAAGGACUCCGUUCUCUCGGUGUAAUGGAUUCUAUGAAGGCCCACCCUGAAACCUUCAAACCUAUUUUCUGUCAAUCGACAGAGAAGCUGACUGCUGAUGUGCUUGAAGAGCUAUUCAAAGAGCAGCGAUCUGACUGUGGGAGUAACAAGUUUGAGAGAGAAAAUGAAGCAGUAUGUCAUUGGAGGGAUUAUCUCUUGGAUGUAGAGAUGGGGAUUUGUGGAGUUACCCUGGAGGACAUCCUUGUCUUUGCCACAGGAAGUGACAGUGUACCAGCAUUGGGCUUCAACCCUGCUCCAACUGUUGAAUUUUUGCAUGAUGGUUCACGGUUUCCACUUGCAAACACAUGUACCAACAUAUUAAGGGUACCAUGCAUGCAUUCAUACGAGUCCUUCAGGGAUGAUAUGGACUUUGGAAUUAAAAAUUCCCCAGGCUUUGGAAGGGCAUAAACAAAUUCCUUUGCUUACCGUACCUGUAGUCAAAGGGCACAAGUACGUUCGAUCCUAAGAACAAUGUUAUGCAUGCCAAAGUGCUGCUAGAAUUUUUGUUUAUCAUUUUUGUUAUCUAUAAUUCUUUGUACACUUAAAUUUAGCAAGUGAGUCACCUUUGGUUGAGAAUUCUUACCUGUAGUUAUUAUUAUUGCAGAUAUUUAGCACUACAAUUAAGCACUACAAUUCAAUUUACUAAAAUAUUAAAAUGUAAUAGUUCAAUCUGUCAAUAUUAACAUCAGUGCUGAAAUGUUACAAGCCUUUAAAUAAAAGUAUAUUAUUUACGCUACUAUUAUGUACAGUUCUAAAUAAAUUCCUGUUAUGGCUACUAUCCUUACCAAAUCCAGGUAAGUGCAACCAUGUUUGUAUAACGCAAGGCUGGAUCUUUUCCCUCCUAAGGAUUUUUGGUAAUAGAGAAUUCUUAACAGUUGUUAAGUUGUUCCAAGAAAGAACAUUUUACUUUUCCUCCUUAUUAAUAAACACUAUUUGCAUUUCUGUAAUGUAAAGUCUGUUUGCAGCUUAUUUUUAAACUGAGAAUUAAAACACAAAUCCAUAAGCUAUAUUCACAUUAUAUUUAACACUACUUAAAUCAAAAUGGCAAAAUACUGUGAUACUCCAAGUUGACUAGAAAUUGGCCUUUACAAACUGGGUUUAAAAUAAAAAGGGUAAAAAUAAUUAUUUUUAUUAUAAAAACUAUUCACAUUAACACUUGCAGAGGUG